rnacentral:rRNA from 1 species
CGAAGGUCCCAAGCGUUAUCCGGAUUUAUUGGGUUUAAAGGGUGCGUAGGCGGGCUAUUAAGUCAGUGGUGAAAGCCCCAAGCUUAACUUGGGAACUGCCAUUGAUACUGAUGGUCUUGAGUACAUUUGAGGUGGGCGGAAUGUGUCAUGUAGCGGUGAAAUGCUUAGAUAUGACACAGAACACCGAUUGCGAAGGCAGCUCACUAAACUGUAACUGACGCUGAGGCACGAAAGCGUGGGGAGCAAACAGGAUUAGAUACCCUGGUAGUCCACGCCCUAAACGAUGAUCACUCGAUGUGUGCGAUAUACUGUGCGCGUCUGAGCGAAAGCAUUAAGUGAUCCACCUGGGGAGUACGACCGCAAGGUUG